rnacentral:lncRNA from 1 species
AUUGCUAGGAUGGCUGGGAAUCACGCCCUCUACCUCCCAGGGGCCUCUCCAGUGUGAGAGCCACAUCAGCUUUCCAGUAUCCCCCACUGUGGUGGCCCAGACACCCGCUGGCUGCCCAUGACCUUCAAGCAGUGCUAGGAUCCUCUUUCAACUCUCCUCCCCGCUCCUCCAGCUUCAGGCCCCGCUGCUUGUGGCCAGCCUUAAGGCUGCUGUCUCUGCAGCCACGAGGGGAGGAUCAGGUGUCUAGUGACUGGGGCCUGACUCCUCCCUGGGGCCCAGGAGAAAUCGAACAUUUUCUCUUCCCAUCUUUGACUCGGCAGCCUGAGAGCCUGAGCCCCCACUUCUGAAACCGGAGCAGAGAAAUGCAUGCGGUUGGGAAACCACCUGCAGAACUUGGCUGGAUCCUGGGCAGCCUGAGGUGCAAGAUGCUUGGCUGGGCUGGGCUUGAGGAUGGAAGGGGUGGGCCAAGAAAGAAAGAUAGACAGGGCCUGGAUGAGGGUGCCUCACUCACCUCAGGCAUCAAAUUUUAGGGGUGCCAAAAAACUCAGCAAUUAAGAGACUUAAUACUUGAAUGAGCUAGUUUUAAAAAUCAAAAUUAAUGCAAAACAAGAUCUGUGAUUGUGGCGGGCAGAAUGAUGCCCCCCUCCUGAAGAGGUCUACGUGCUCUAAAAUUCGUGAAUAUGCUAAAUUAUAUGGCAAAGGGGAGAUCGGGUGCAGGCGGAAGAAAGGUUGCUAAUCAGCAGACCUUGAGGUAGGGGGAGGAGCCUGAGUUGUCCAGGUGGAGCCAAUGUAAUCAUAAGGGUCCUUAAAAGCAGAAGAGGGCGGCAGAAGAGUUGGAAUCGGGGAAAGAAAUGUCAUGGCGGAAGUAGAGUCAGAGAAGUAUGGUGUGAGAAAGACUCGCCUGGCUUUGAAGACGUUUGGAGGCCACUGCCAAGGACUGCAAGCAACCUCUGGAAACUAGAAAAGGCGAGAAAGCAGAUGUUCCCCCAGAGCCUCCAGAAGGAAAUGAAGUCCUGCUGACACCUUGUUUUUAGCUCAGUGAGACCGGUGUCAGACUGUGACUUACAGAACUGGGAACUAAUAAACUUGUGUUGUUUUAAGGCACUAGGUUUGUGGUAAUUUACGACAGCAGCAAUAAGAAACUAAUACAAUGAAGAACCGAAUACCAGCCUUUUACAUAAAGACAGGCUCAGGAGAUGAUAGGCCCCCGGCCUGCGGACAACAGCCUUCGUGCUCAUGCCCACUCAGUUCAGCCCUUGAACUGCGGGUGAGAUCAAGGGGGCGGGGACGACAAGCCAGAGUGUUCCCAUUUUACAAACCCACUGUUCUGCC